GUUCUUUUUUUGGUAGCACAUAUAAUAAAAUUGGAAGCAUACGGAGAGGAUUAGCAUGGCCCCUGCGAAAGGAUGACAGGCAAAUUCGUGAAGUGUCCCGUAUUUUG